rnacentral:rRNA from 1 species
CCUACGGGAGGCAGCAGUGAGGAAUAUUGGUCAAUGGGCGGAAGCCUGAACCAGCCAAGUCGCGUGAGGGAAUAAGGCCCUACGGGUCGUAAACCUCUUUUGCCGGGGAGCAAGGGCGGGGACGUGUCCCGGCCCGGAGAGUACCCGGAGAAAAAGCAUCGGCUAACUCCGUGCCAGCAGCCGCGGUAAUACGGAGGAUGCGAGCGUUAUCCGGAUUUACUGGGCGUAAAGGGAGCGUAGGCGGCCUGCCAAGUCUGAUGUGAAAUACCGGGGCUCAACCCCGGGGCUGCAUUGGAAACUGGCAG